rnacentral:rRNA from 1 species
CUAACGAGUUAAGCAUGCCGCCUGGGUAGUAUAUUCGCAAGAAUGAAACUCAAAGGGAUAGNCGGGGGUACACACAAGCAGUGGAUUGUCUCGAUUAAUUGGAUAAUAAGCCAAGAAUCUUACCUAGACUUGACAUAUAUUGUGUCCUACGUGAAAGUGUAGUAAUCCCGAUUUUGUCGGGAUACGAUAUACAGGUGGUGCAUGGUCGUCGUCAGCUCGUGCCGCAAGAUGUCCAGUUAAGUCUGGGAACGAGCGUAACCCUCGUUGUUAGUUAGAAUGUCUAACAAGACUGCUCCGGCAACGGAGAGGAAGGAGAGGAUGACGUCAGAUCAUCAUGCCCCUUACGUCUAGGGCUUCAUAGACAAUACAAUGGAUAGUACAGCGAGAAGCGAUGCCGCGAGGCUAAGCAAAUCUCACAAAGCUAUCCCUAGUUCGGAUUGCAGUCUGGAACUCGACUGCAUGAAGUCGGAAUUGCUAGUCCAUGCCGGGUCAGCAUACCGCCGUGAAUAUGUACCUGUUCCUUGCACUCACCGCCCGUCAAACCAUGGGAGUUGAGGCUCUCUGAAG